AAACUUGAGAGUUUGAUCAUGGCUCAGAACGAACGCUGGCGGCAUGCCUAACACAUGCAAGUCGAACGAGUGCCUUCGGGUGCUAGUGGCGCACGGGUGCGUAACGCGUGGGAAUCUGCCCUUUGGUUCGGAAUAACAGUUGGAAACGACUGCUAAUACC
rnacentral:rRNA from 1 species